GGAGAGGAAGAGGACUUAAGUGAGAAAAUGAAGGAGUUGCAGGGCAAUAUUGAGAUGGUACAGCAGACUGUGAAACCGGGGUGCUCUCCGUAGGUAGUGGAGCUCGCACUGCAUUCCAUGGCCUCCCUCGUCGAAUUCCAUUCCUCUGUAUCCUCCAAGACGGAGCUAAUUUCUUCACUUUAACUUGCAAAUCCACUGCUGCUAGUUAGAAGGAUUAUGCAAGUUUGCCUGUUUCUGGGUGUAAUAUAGAUUGACGCACAUACCCCACUUAAACGGGUAAAAAGGUGAACGGUGCAUUGGCAGGUGAGAGAAUUCGUUGUAGGUUGGAAAUUGGAGUAGGGAAGGAAAUUGGCAUGUGUAUCCUAAGCUACAUUAUGAUUAAAUUCUGUCAAAAAGUGUCAGUUCAUGAAGCUCAAGAGGUGGUUUGUACCAUGAACGUUGGGCGACGUGAUGUUGAAUUCUACGUGAAGUCGUUUUUAACUUCAGCAAGUGAAUGUGGCUAUUGAUGUCUUUCCUCGAUUUUGUAAA